GACGAACGCUGGCGGCGUGCUUAACACAUGCAAGUCGAACGGAAAGGCCCUGCUUUUGUGGGGUGCUCGAGUGGCGAACGGGUGAGUAACACGUGAGUAACCUGCCCUUGUCUUUGGGAUAACUUCAGGAAACUGGGGCUAAUACCGGAUAGGAGCUCCUGCUGCAUGGUGGGGGUUGGAAAGUUUCGGCGGUUGGGGAUGGACUCGCGGCUUAUCAGCUUGUUGGUGGGGUAGUGGCUUACCAAGGCUUUGACGGGUAGCCGGCCUGAGAGGGUGACCGGCCACAUUGGGACUGCGAUACGGCCCAGACUCCUACGGGAGGCAGCAGUGGGGAAUAUUGCAGAAUGGGCGGAAGCCUGAUGCAGCAACGCCGCGUGCGGGAUGACGGCCUUCGGGUUGUAAACCGCUUUCGCCGGUGACGAAGCGUGAGUGACGGUAAUGGGUAAAGAAGCACCGGCUAACUACGUG
rnacentral:rRNA from 1 species